UCAUCUGACGAAGCUGUGGAUUAUUAUAAUUAUAAAGGAUGGUAUUCCACCGUUUUAAUGGCAUUAGUUGAUGCUAAAUACCGUUUUACUUACAUAAACGUAGGAAGUCCCGGGCGAUGUAAUGACUCUCAAAUUUAUGAGACGUCAUCACUUAAGAAAGAAAUAGAUCGUUGUCCUUUACUAAGCGAAAUGUCUAGAGAAAUUUCAGGCGUAAAUGUGCCAGUAUUCAUUAUUGGGGAUUCGGCUUUGCGAGUUAGCAAACAACUAAUGAAACCGUAUCCAUUUAGCGUAAAUCAAAAUAAUGGUGAGAAGAUAUUCAACUACGCUCUUUCGAAAACACGUAGAGUUGUCGAAAAUGCUUUUGGACACCUCAAGGCCCGCUUUCGACGCAUCGGAAAAGGAAUUGACAACUCUGUACGGAAUGCCAACUCCAUAAUAAAAGCAUGUUGCGUCCUUCACAAUUUUUAAAUGAUAACAACGACACGCUAAACGCUAAAUGGUUACGCGCUUUGGAAGAGUUGGAGACUAGACGCCAAAAUCCGUGUGAUGUUUCAUAUGCAUCUGACGACCCAAUUAAUGGAGAAAUGAUUCGGACAGCACUUUGUACAUAUUUUGAAUCACUCGGCUCGGGAGACGGUAUAGUUUGCGAAGAAGUAUCGGCUGGCGACAUCGGCAUCGCUGAGGGCGAAGGUAGGC